GGGCCCGCACAAGCGGUGGAGCAUGUGGUUUAAUUCGAUGAUACGCGAGGAACCUUACCAGGGUUUAAAUGCAGAACGACAGGGGUGGAAACACCCCUUCUUCGGUACGGACUGCAAGGUGCUGCAUGGUUGUCGUCAGCUCGUGCUGUGAAGUGUCGGGUUAAGUCCCAUAACGAGCGCAACCCACUUUCUAGUUGCCAGCGGUUCGGCCGGGACUCUAGAGAAACUGCCAGCGUAAGCUGUGAGGAAGGUGGGGAUGACGUCAAAUCAUCACGGCCCUUACAUCCUGGGCCACACACGUGCUACAAUGGUGGGGACAACAGGUUGCCAACCCGCGAGGGU
rnacentral:rRNA from 1 species